rnacentral:lncRNA from 13 species
UUUCCAGAAUACAGUGGACACGUACCGGACCGGUUCCGUAACGAGUGGCAUCGCGAAUCAUUUAAUUGAAAGUGGUAUGUUCUCCGAAUCGAUUCAGAAAUGGAUGUUGUCGCAAGGUCUAAUUAAACGCAACGAACGCGGGAUGGACCGGCUCCAAAACGAGUGACAUCGCGGAUCCUUUAACAGAACACGAAUGCGAUGCGGAUCGUAGCGCGGAAAUGAGUGGCGUCGCAAACUAAAUAGAACGCGGCAGACGGGAGAUGAUAGAUUGGAACCGGAGCAAGUGGCAUCACGAAUUGUUUAACAGACCAUUCCUGUGAUAGACGAGCAGCCCAGAUGUUCUGAGAGGAAGAGGAGGCCUGGGAGUAGCAUCGGGCCUCAGCGGAGCAACCUUGGGUUUCGUCGCAGCUUCGUGGCUGAAUAACUCCGCUCGUUGCGCAUCGGGUCGGUAAGUCAGAAUUAACAAUUCCUAUUUUCUUAUUUUAAUGCUGUGUAAAUGUGCACGUAUACAUGAUCAAAGAAAAGGAUAUUGAAAAAAAGAGUUUAG